rnacentral:misc_RNA from 1 species
GUGAAUCAUCAAAUUUUUGAACGCAAAUUGCACUCUCUGGUAUUCCGGAGAGUAUGCCUGUUUGAGGGUCAGUUUAAAUAAAAAUCGGUGUGGUUGUUUUCUUUCGUGGUUACGCACCGGGUUUUGUUUGUCUUUCUUUCGGUUUUGUGACCUCAAAUUUUGCAUGAUUUUUUUCGUACGUAUUUAAAUGAUUUUACUUUCUUUUUCUUU